AAAGUCGUAACAAGGUUUCCGUAGGUGAACCUGCGGAAGGAUCAUUAGCAGUGUGCCGCCGGGCAUGCUGCCGGGUGCCCCUGGGUGCCCGCGGCAGCCCGCCGGCCCCCGCCCCACCCGUGCUCGACGACACCCCAGAUGCAUGUUCCCGGCGAGAGAGCCGUGGUCCGAGCAAAUGUUGCAGCAUGAAAACUUUCAACAACGGAUCUCUUGGUUCCG
rnacentral:misc_RNA from 1 species